UGGGACAAGACCCCUAAAGGACCUUGAGAUGAGGAACACAGAUUUUUGACUCUCAUUAAAAAAUUAGUCCGCCAUGCAUAUGUGGGAGCUGUGAUUUUAAAAAUUGACAUAAAUGAACUAGGACUGGUGUUUUAUAGAGCUGAUGUGAUGUGAAAAAAAGUAUACAAAAAUAAACCUGAUCAAAAAAUUACAAAGGAUAUAUUUUUUAAUGAUUUUUAUGGUCAGAAUUUUGGGAUUAUUUCCUGUGGAGAGUGACAUUUUUCACUAUCUUUCGGGGUUGGGCACUUGACGGGAAAACGAAUCACACUUGCCACCCCGAAAAUCGCACCACAUAUGUCCAAGUGUCUCAGCUUCAAAACGAGCUAUCAUACAUAUCCAAGUUUACGAUAUGGCCUGAGCAACAGAAGAAAACGUUAACAUUAUGGCCUAUGGAAUAUCUAAUGCGCAUAUUGACCCAUCUUGUGACCUUUAAUUUCAAAGGUGAUGGAGUGUUUCAUGGCUCAGUGACUACAAUAUUAGGAUGAAAGCUGCUGAAAUCAAGAGCUACUGCAGCACGAGACUUUUUACCCAUUGUGCAGCCAACAGCUUUUAGAGUUUUAACCAAGGCAACAUCUCUAUUAUUAUUUACUUUCAAGACUGCUGCAGAAGCACGACCUAUGGCAUUGCGGGAGAAAUUCUUAUUUUUUGAUAUGGCUAAAACUUCACAGAAUUGUUCAGAAAUGUGUACUGAAGGGAUACAAACUGCAAAAUAAGUGGAAUCUGACAUUAGCUGAUCUAAUAUGGGACAAGACCCCUAAAGGACCUUGAGAUGAGGAACACAGAUUUUUGACUCUCAUUAAAAAAUUAGUCCGCCAUGCAUAUGUGGGAGCUGUGAUUUUAAAAAUUGACAUAAAUGAACUAGGACUGGUGUUUUAUAGAGCUGAUGUGAUGUGAAAAAAAGUAUACAAAAAUAAACCUGAUCAAAAAAUUACAAAGGAUAUAUUUUUUAAUGAUUUUUAUGGUCAGAAUUUUGGGAUUAUUUCCUGUGGAGAGUGACAUUUUUCACUAUCUUUCGGGGUUGGGCACUUGACGGGAAAACGAAUCACACUUGCCACCCCGAAAAUCGCACCACAUAUGUCCAAGUGUCUCAGCUUCAAAACGAGCUAUCAUACAUAUCCAAGUUUACGAUAUGGCCUGAGCAACAGAAGAAAACGUUAACAUUAUGGCCUAUGGAAUAUCUAAUGCGCAUAUUGACCCAUAUG